UUUAAAAAAAAAAUCCCCAAAACUUAUGUAACUCUGCAACUAAUCUUCACUAAUCUUGAGCAAGGCAUUUAAAUCCAGGGAAUAAGCCUAUUCUUCUUGCCUCCCCGCCUCCCAGCCUAUCUGUACAGUGAAAAGGGAAACAGAUAGAAGCAAAGUGCACAGCCUUGUGUGCAUUCCUUUUGAUGGGAGCAAAGUGGUAAUGUGUCCCUAGUCUGCUCCGAAGCAAACCCUCCUGUCCUGCCAUUACCCAUGCGUAACGGUCGAGGACCUUAAGAGAAAAGCUGAUUUUGGACUGAUUAACGCUUGCUCUUAGCUGAAGCAUGGAAAUCUCUACUCUCGCAACUUACCAUUGCCUUGCUUUUGUGUGGUAUUUUUUUGUCACUUAUUCAAUCACUCACGUAAGAACAGAAGAGCGGCCAUCUGAAGUGUUCCUUUACGGUGGGCAGUGGAAGUAUUUGACAGUCCUCAAUCUGGUUUUGCAGGCUGUCUUCUAUGGGGUGUCCUUCCUGGCUGAUGCAUUGAGACUAAUUAAGAAACUGCGAUGUGCUAAGUGUGUAAUUUCCAGCAGAGACCUUCUUUUCAGUGUCCUGGCUUUCCCAGUGUCCACAUUUGUAUGUUUAUCCUUUUGGACACUGUAUACCUACAAUCGAGAGCUGGUUUACCCCAAAAGCCUUGAUGGAGUCAUCCCCCUCUGGUUAAAUCAUGCUAUGCUAUUUUGGGAAGCUUCUGCAAUACUAACCAACCAAGGGAGUGCCAGAUUAGUGUGUGGAGCAGAACCUGCUUGCCCAGGCCACUCUAACUGGACUCCUGCUCCAGGCGUGCACACAAGAACCUCCUCAGCACACGGCUGUGCUGCCAUUUGCUGUCCUGGAAAUCCUUGCCACACCGCACCGAUACCCAGCAAAGAAGAAGGGAUCGAUCCUAUUGGCAUUUGUCGCUUUUCUGUAUAUCAGUUGGGUCCUGUGGAUUUAUUCUGUAACGGGAGAGUGGGUAUAUCCGCUCUUCGCUUUACUCAGCCCUGCUGGGCUCACAGCCUUUUUCACCUGUAGCCUUGCCAUCGUCAUCUCUUUCUACAACUUCGGAGAGUUCCUAAACCGUAUGAUAUGGGGAGAUUCAAUAGUAAUACUGGACUACAGGCAGAAAGGCAAGUGACUCCUUCCUCAUCCAACCAAACAAUCUCUCCAUGAAUGCUGAAGCCAUGAAGUAGAGGAAAAUAAAGGCAGAUGUGAUAAAUCCUUUCUCCAGUGCAUUGCAGCUUCUGGUGAAGCCAUUAUGUCAUCAGACAUAUGGAAAACCGGUGGAAAAUAUGAAGUGUUUGCCUCUUACAUGAUAACUCUGCAACUGCUAUGAAUAAGAAAUUUGUGUUCAUCUGUUUACACAGAUUUCUCGUCUCUUGCAUAAUGUACUUGAGGAUGUGUCCAUGGUUAAAACUCAUCACUGGUAAACGAACUCCCUCAUGAGCUUGGCACCACUCUGUAAAAGACCAGUGAAUGCAAGCCAGCUCUUAUUUGGAUUGUCCUUCAUCAAGUCUGGAAAAAAUUAAGGGAAGGGAUAAUUUUAACAGUGCUGUGACUUCCAAGCUAGCUAGAUAACAAAUUGGGCUAACAAGGGUUGUAAUUAGGAAUGUCUGCUCAGAAAGAUCACCAUGAAGCCAAAUUCUUUUAAUGAGAAACUUUCUGGAGUAUUUAUAUGCAUAAUAUCUCUUCUCCAUUUUAACAGGAAAUCGGAACACAACACUUUCUUCCUUUUUCUUGGUUGCAGUUAAUCUUGCAACAAAAGUAACCUAAUUAUACUGACUGUAUGAUUGCUUUGACAGAAAGCAUGUUAAUUUAAAGCACUGUUUAACAUAAAGCUGCCUGCCAUAUAAUUACACUCCAUUCACAUGUUUACUAAUCUUGCUCAAUAUAGUUGAUUUCUGUUAUUAGCCUCAACAUUUUGUUAACAUCUAAAACACUGGAGAUCUGCUUUGCAAACUGCAAUAAACAGACAAAACCAACAGUAGCGUUCCUUAAUGGUCAAUGUGAAAAAAAGAAAGACCUCUUUUUUUUUGCCUUGUAUUUAAAGCUAGUUGCAGUACUUAAAUAUCUAACUAUCUUCAUUGCCAAUACUCCUAGUUUAGAGCUACCGUGCAUGUAGUUCACUGAGGUAUUAUCUCCAUCUUUUGAAUGCUGCUGGAGCUUAGUAAAAGUGAA